GCCGAGGUGGUGGAACUGGUAGACACGCUGUCUUGAGGGGGCAGUGGGCUAUGCCCGUGGGGGUUCGAGUCCCCCUCUCGGCACCA
rnacentral:tRNA from 3 species